UACAGAGGGUGCGAGCGUUGUCCGGAAUCACUGGGCGUAAAGGGCGCGUAGGUGGCGACCCAAGUCGAUGGUGAAAGCUCGCCGCUCAACGGCGAGUCGGCCACUGAUACUGGUUGGCUUGAGCACUGUAGAGGCUAAUGAAUUCCGGGUGUAGCGGUGGAAUGCGUAGAGAUCCGGAAGAACACCGGUGGCGAAGGCGGUUAGCUGGGCAGUUGCUGACACUGAGGCGCGACAGCGUGGGGGAGCAAACAGGG
rnacentral:rRNA from 1 species